rnacentral:rRNA from 1 species
AAAUUGAAGAGUUUGAUCAUGGCUCAGAUUGAACGCUGGCGGCAGGCCUAACACAUGCAAGUCGAACGGUAACAGAAAGAAGCUUGCUUCUUUGCUGACGAGUGGCGGACGGGUGAGUAAUGUCUGGGAAACUGCCUGAUGGAGGGGGAUAACUACUGGAAACGGUAGCUAAUACCGCAUAACGUCGCAAGACCAAAGAGGGGGACCUUCGGGCCUCUUGCCAUCGGAUGUGCCCAGAUGGGAUUAGCUUGUUGGUGGGGUAACGGCUCACCAAGGCGACGAUCCCUAGCUGGUCUGAGAGGAUGACCAGCCACACUGGAACUGAGACACGGUCCAGACUCCUACGGGAGGCAGCAGUGGGGAAUAUUGCACAAUGGGCGCAAGCCUGAUGCAGCCAUGCCGCGUGUAUGAAGAAGGCCUUCGGGUUGUAAAGUACUUUCAGCGGGGAGGAAGGGAGUAAAGUUAAUACCUUUGCUCAUUGACGUUACCCGCAGAAGAAGCACCGGCUAACUCCGUGCCAGCAGCCGCGGUAAUACGGAGGGUGCAAGCGUUAAUCGGAAUUACUGGGCGUAAAGCGCACGCAGGCGGUUUGUUAAGUCAGAUGUGAAAUCCCCGGGCUCAACCUGGGAACUGCAUCUGAUACUGGCAAGCUUGAGUCUCGUAGAGGGGGGUAGAAUUCCAGGUGUAGCGGUGAAAUGCGUAGAGAUCUGGAGGAAUACCGGUGGCGAAGGCGGCCCCCUGGACGAAGACUGACGCUCAGGUGCGAAAGCGUGGGGAGCAAACAGGAUUAGAUACCCUGGUAGUCCACGCCGUAAACGAUGUCGACUUGGAGGUUGUGCCCUUGAGGCGUGGCUUCCGGAGCUAACGCGUUAAGUCGACCGCCUGGGGAGUACGGCCGCAAGGUUAAAACUCAAAUGAAUUGACGGGGGCCCGCACAAGCGGUGGAGCAUGUGGUUUAAUUCGAUGCAACGCGAAGAACCUUACCUGGUCUUGACAUCCACGGAAGUUUUCAGAGAUGAGAAUGUGCCUUCGGGAACCGUGAGACAGGUGCUGCAUGGCUGUCGUCAGCUCGUGUUGUGAAAUGUUGGGUUAAGUCCCGCAACGAGCGCAACCCUUAUCCUUUGUUGCCAGCGGUCCGGCCGGGAACUCAAAGGAGACUGCCAGUGAUAAACUGGAGGAAGGUAGGGAUGACGUCAAGUCAUCAUGGCCCUUACGACCAGGGCUACACACGUGCUACAAUGGCGCAUACAAAGAGAAGCGACCUCGCGAGAGCAAGCGGACCUCAUAAAGUGCGUCGUAGUCCGGAUUGGAGUCUGCAACUCGACUCCAUGAAGUCGGAAUCGCUAGUAAUCGUGGAUCAGAAUGCCACGGUGAAUACGUUCCCGGGCCUUGUACACACCGCCCGUCACACCAUGGGAGUGGGUUGCAAAAGAAGUAGGUAGCUUAACCUUCGGGAGGGCGCUUACCACUUUGUGAUUCAUGACUGGGGUGAAGUCGUAACAAGGUAACCGUAGGGGAACCUGCGGUUGGAUCACCUCCUUACCUUAAAGAAGC